UAUGUUGUUGGUAUUAUCGAUCAG
rnacentral:siRNA from 1 species